AGCCUAGUUAAUUCUAAAGUAGCUGAAUUUGAAAAUCUAUUGCGAAAUCCUUAUGCAUCUACAUCAACUUCUGCUCCUAAUGCUCAAAGUCCUUUUCCUGGUGGCAUACCAAGUGCCUCAUUGAGUGCUCAAAGUCCUUUUCCUGGUGCCGCACCAAGUGCCUCAAGUCCUUUUCCUGGUGCCUCAUUGAGUGCUCAAAGUCCUUUUCCUGGUGCUGCACCAAAUGCAUUGUCGAGUGCUCAAAGCAGUUUUCCUCCUUCAGCCUCAAGUUUUAGUCAGUUGGGAACCAUACUGAAUACAGGGU
rnacentral:lncRNA from 1 species